GGUGGCUCAGUGGUAGAGUGCCUGCCUUGCAUGCAUGAGGUCCUAGGUUCGAUUCCUCAGCACCA
rnacentral:tRNA from 1 species